UGCAAGUCGAGCGGACCGACGGGAGCUUGCUCCCUUAGGUCAGCGGCGGACGGGUGAGUAACACGUGGGUAACCUGCCUGUAAGACUGGGAUAACUCCGGGAAACCGGGGCUAAUACCGGAUGCUUGAUUGAACCGCAUGGUUCAAUCAUAAAAGGUGGCUUUUAGCUACCACUUGCAGAUGGACCCGCGGCGCAUUAGCUAGUUGGUGAGGUAACGGCUCACCAAGGCGACGAUGCGUAGCCGACCUGAGAGGGUGAUCGGCCACACUGGGACUGAGACACGGCCCAGACUCCUACGGGAGGCAGCAGUAGGGAAUCUUCCGCAAUGGACGAAAGUCUGACGGAGCAACGCCGCGUGAGUGAUGAAGGUUUUCGGAUCGUAAAACUCUGUUGUUAGGGAAGAACAAGUACCGUUCGAAUAGGGCGGGACCUUGACGGUACCUAACCAGAAAGCCACGGCUAACUACGUGCCAGCAGCCGCGGUAAUACGUAGGUGGCAAGCGUUGUCCGGAAUUAUUGGGCGUAAAGCGCGCGCAGGCGGUUUCUUAAGUCUGAUGUGAAAGCCCCCGGCUCAACCGGGGAGGGUCAUUGGAAACUGGGGAACUUGAGUGCAGAAGAGGAGAGUGGAAUUCCACGUGUAGCGGUGAAAUGCGUAGAGAUGUGGAGGAACACCAGUGGCGAAGGCGACUCUCUGGUCUGUAACUGACGCUGAGGCGCGAAAGCGUGGGGAGCGAACAGGAUUAGAUACCCUGGUAGUCCACGCCGUAAACGAUGAGUGCUAAGUGUUAGAGGGUUUCCGCCCUUUAGUGCUGCAGCAAACGCAUUAAGCACUCCGCCUGGGGAGUACGGUCGCAAGACUGAAACUCAAAGGAAUUGACGGGGGCCCGCACAAGCGGUGGAGCAUGUGGUUUAAUUCGAAGCA
rnacentral:rRNA from 1 species